UCGCUCGGUCCCUCCCCCUCGCUCCGGCCGCCACACCACGCGGGCACGUCAAUGGCGCGCAUCGUGUCACGAGCGCUCCCGUUCGCCUCGCGCUCGUCCCUCCGCCUCCCGCUCCCACCGCCCUUCCCCGGCGCGGCGCUGGUCCGUUCCGCCGCUGCGGGUUCGCCCCUGCCCCCAGCUGCCGAGGCUGCACUCGCGGCCUCGCUGCUCUCCUGGCGCGGGCACACGGCCACCCCCGAGUCCUCGAUAGCGGCGCCGCCGCCGUUCGCAGGGUUUCUCGCUGGAAUCCGCAGGUUCCGCAAGGGACGGCGCGGACAGGCGUCGGCGAAGCGGUCGCAGCCUCAGGACGCCCCGCCGCCCCCGCCCCCGCCCCCGCCUCCACCGAAGGAGAGAGAGAUCGAACUCGUCGCUCGCAUCGGCAUCGAGGAGGACAUGCCUGACGACCCAGAAGUGCUGAACAUUGUAGAAAUCCUUAAGUUAAAUGUCCCAAUGGCAAUGAAGAUUGCACUUGAUGGACUUCUGGAUUCCAGUUACAGCACCCGAGAUACCUCAAUAAGUGAUGUUGGGAAGUAUGAUAAGGUUGAGGUUUCUGUAUUGCUAUGCAAUGAUAACUUCAUCCAAGAUCUUAACAAAGAAUGGAGAGAUGUGGACUGCGCUACUGAUAUACUCUCAAUGUCCCAGUACAUUCCAGAUCUUGAUGUUCCCAUCCUAAUGUUAGGUGAUAUAGUAAUAUCUGUUGAGGCAGCUGAAAGGCAAGCUGGGGAGAAAGGUGUUACACUUCUUGAUGAAGUGCGGGUCCUAGUGGUUCGUGGCAUAUUGCAUCUUCUUGGUUUUCAACACGAGUCGAGCAAUGAGGCUGCAGCAGAAUUGGAGAAGGAGGAGCAGCUCAUUUUAAAAAGUCUAAGGUGGAAAGGAAAAGGUCUAGCUAAAAGUGUUCUGGAUUCAAGCAAGCCUCAAACAGAUUCAUUGGAUGAAUGUUUACAGGACAAGUGACAAAUGACCUGAAGAAAGCUGGCAGCCUUAGAUUUUACAAACCAAAAUUCAAAUAUAUUUUUUGUGAUAUGGAUGGUACGCUGCUCAACAGUAAAAGUCAAGUUUCAGCAAGGAAUGCAGAAGCUCUAAGGGAAGCUAGGUCAAGAGGAGUAAACAUAGUUAUUGCCACUGGAAAGGCACGUCCUGCUGUAAUCGACGCUCUUAGUAUGGUGGACUUAUCUGGAAGGACUGGUAUUGUUUCAGAAUCAUCACCUGGUGUAUUCCUUCAGGGGCUGUUGGUUUAUGGUUUGGAAGGGAGACGGAUUUAUAAAAGAAAUUUGGACCAAGAAGUAUGUAGAGAGGCACUCUCAUAUUCUAUAGAGAACAAGAUACCAUUUGUAGCAUUUAGUCAGGAUCAUUGUUAUUCGAUGUUUGACCACCCUUUGGUCGAUUCUCUCCAUUACAUAUACCAUGAACCUAAGGCUAAAAUAGUGCCAUCUAUUGGUCAGCUUUUAGAAACAGCUGAGAUACAGAAAGUAUUGUUCCUUGAAACUCCUGAGAGGAUUUCGUCUGCACUGAGACCGUACUGGGCAAAGGCGAUAGAGGGAAGGGCCCAUGUUGUUCAGGCACAGCCUGAUAUGCUUGAACUUGUACCACCUGCAACUUCGAAAGGCAAUGGUGUGAAGGUUCUGUUGAACCACCUUUCCAUUAGUCCAGAUGAGGUAGAAUUAAUCUAGUCUCCAACUAAUAUAUUUGCAUUACACUAAUAAAAACUUGCUAACCUUAGCUGAGGUAGAACAUUGAAGUAGCUGCAGAAAAGGUUCAGUAAAAUUAAGAUACCAAAACAUUAUUCUAGACCAACAACAUCAGUGUUACCUCUAAACUCUGUGACAAAUGUGCAGGAUAAGAAAUAUGGUGGUUCCUAAUUUCUGCAAUCCAUAUUAUUUACCUUUUCUUCCAACAUUUCUGACCAUGGAAGUUUGCAUUCAACUCCUGGUUAUUCAAGUGGUUGUUCAUGGUAAAAGUUUAAGCAUGGAGAUGCCAGCGAAGCAGCUGUUAUGAUGCUUCUGAUGUUAAUAGUGUGUGCGUGUCAUGCUAAUUGAUCUUGAGGAAUUAUAAGUGUGUUUGGUUUGAGGAAAGGGAAAAACGAAUGAAUCUUCCUAAUCUAUAGCUCUGAACCUAGUCUACAUGUUUGGUCUGAGGAUGCACCCAUGCAGUUGGUCCUGGUCCCAUCACUAACUCAUUUGUCAUAGGUAUAUGUUAGUAAAAAAGGAAUGAUAUUAUGAUGAUAUUAUCCUACCAAAACUUUGGAUGAGUUGGUUACUUAAAUGGAACUUAUGGCUAUAUC